UACGAAGGGGGCUAGCGUUGCUCGGAAUCACUGGGCGUAAAGCGCACGUAGGCGGCUUACUAAGUCAGGGGUGAAAUCCUGGAGCUCAACUCCAGAACUGCCUUUGAUACUGAGGAUCUUGAGUCCGGGAGAGGUGAGUGGAACUGCGAGUGUAGAGGUGAAAUUCGUAGAUAUUCGCAAGAACACCAGUGGCGAAGGCGGCUCACUGGCCCGGUACUGACGCUGAGGCACGAAAGCGUGGGGAGCAAACAGG
rnacentral:rRNA from 1 species